rnacentral:tRNA from 1 species
UCCUCAGUAGCUCAGUAGGUUAGAGCAUCUGACUGUUAAUCAGAGGGUCGCUGGUUCGAGCCCAGCCUGAGGAG